UACGUAGGGUGCGAGCGUUGUCCGGAAUUAUUGGGCGUAAAGAGCUCGUAGGCGGUGUGUCACGUCGGCCGUGAAAACCUGCAGCUUAACUGUGGGCGUGCGGUCGAUACGGGCAUCACUGGAGUUCGGCAGGGGAGACUGGAAUUCCUGGUGUAGCGGUGAAAUGCGCAGAUAUCAGGAGGAACACCGAUGGCGAAGGCAGGUCUCUGGGCAUUAACUGACGUGAGGAGCGAAAGCAUGGGGGAGCGAAACAGG
rnacentral:rRNA from 1 species